rnacentral:tRNA from 1 species
GGGGUUGUAGCUCAGUGGUAGAGCGCUUGCCUAGCGUGAGGCACUGGGUUCAAUCCUCAGCACCAUAUAAAAAUAAAAAUAAAUAAAUAAAGAUAUUGUGUCUACCCACAACUAAAAAAAAAUAUUAAAAAGAAAAUAGAACAAGGGUUGGGGUUGUGACUCAGUGUAGAGCGCUUGCCUAGCAUGUAUGAGGCACUGGGUUCGAUUCUCAGCACUACA